AAAUAACUGAUGUACGCGAUAUCGUAGUUAUGUCUUUGUUCCUAAUUUUAAAAUAGGGAUUAAGUAAAUUAUUACAGGUGAGCAAACCUAUAAUAUUUUAGGUAGCCUAAUGUAUAAAACUUAAACCCACCUGAACUUAUCGGUUCAAGGAAAAUAUACAAUAACGGUACAUCGGUUUUACC
rnacentral:other from 1 species